UGGACGACAUGGGUUCCCGCCGCCGCCGCGCCGCAGGAGUUUCAUUAUUUCAUUUCAUUUUUAUCAAUAGUAAAAGAAGUAAAAGUAAAAAGUGAAAAAAAGUUAUACUUUAUAGUUUAUACUCGACUCGACUUGAGACUUGAACGAUACCAUAAUUACCCUAAAAAUCAAAAUUGAAAAGAAAUUAUCUACGAACUAACUGCGAACGAUGAAGACUUGCAAACAGAAUAAGAGAUGAUUAUCAAAAAAAUACUCAAACUUCGUAGAACUUACAAAACAGCAUUAUUUUCCAGCACUGGUGUCACACACAACACGAAAGAACACUGAACAUUUGUCGCAAAAAACUCAGAAAACUACAAAAGUAUAGAAGUAAUCGCGCAUCAACUUCACUAUACAGAAGAACCUAACACGUCCUGCGGGUAAUCUAUAACACCAAACACACGUAUCACUACUCCGGCGAUCGAAUUAAUUAAGUAUGGAACUUUCGGCGUUUGCAGUACUUUCACCAAGCCAAGCGUACAGGAAAACUGGACGCUUAUCGAAUCGAAAUGGAAAUGGAAUCGCAUUGUAACAGAUAUGACGUAAUGGAUUAAACGGUACAUCAGGUCGUGAUUGUUAUGGCGUUAAAGCUGUUCAUUAUAUAAAUUUAUUAGCCAUGUAUUCUGAAUUGGCACGCCUCCGUUAUGAAUUUAUCACAUUAGAGUU